GCUGGGUUCAGUGGCGCAAGCCUAUAAUCCCAGCAGCUUGGGAGGCUGAGGCAGGAGGAUUGUGAGUUCAAAGCCAGCCUCAGCAAAAACAAGCAACUCAGUGAGACCCUGUCUCUA
rnacentral:sRNA from 1 species